rnacentral:rRNA from 1 species
GCGAGAUGCGUGGUCAGGGCCGGGGUAAUACGGAGGUGGCGGGGGUGAAUCGGAGUUGCGGGGGUUAAAGUGGGCGCAGGCGGCGGCGGAAGGCGAGGGUGAAAGGCCCGGGCGUAACUUGGGAAUUGCGGUCGAAACUACGUGGCUGGAGGGUGGCAGAGGAAGGUGGAAUUCCACGUGUAGCGGUGAAAUGCGUAGAGAUGUGGAGGAACACCGAUGGCGAAGGCAGCCUUCUGUGCCAACACUGACGCUCAUGCACGAAAGCGUGGGGAGCAAACAGGAUUAGAUACCCCAGUAGUC